CAGUAGCCACGGUAAUACGGAGGGGGCUAGCGUUGUUCGGAAUUACUGGGCGUAAAGCGCACGUAGGCGGCUUUGUAAGUUAGAGGUGAAAGCCUGGGGCUCAACUCCAGAAUUGCCUUUAAGACUGCACCGCUUGAACGUCGGAGAGGUGAGUGGAAUUCCGAGUGUAGAGGUGAAAUUCGUAGAUAUUCGGAAGAACACCAGUGGCGAAGGCGGCUCACUGGGCGACUGUUGACGCUGAGGUGCGAAAGCGUGGGGAGCAAACAGGAUUAGAUACCCCCGUAGUCCCUGUCUCUUAUAC
rnacentral:rRNA from 1 species